AUGCGGACCUGGGUUAGCGGAGU
rnacentral:miRNA from 1 species